GGCCCCCAGAAGAAUUGUGUCCUCUGGGAGGCCCUCAAUCAGGGUCCCUGAGGAAGGGACUUGUUCCCAUACACACUUAAGGCUCUUUCUGGGCAUUCCCAGAAAUAUUUGGGGAAAAUUUUGUGGUCCUGCAGCCUUGUCGGUGAAAAGAAUGCACUGCUGCAACUUAGAUACUGAGAUGGUUAAUUUUAUGCAUCAACUAGGAUGGUGCCCAGGUAUUUGGUCAAACAUUAAUCUGGAUGUUUCUGUGAAGAUGUUUUUGAAUGAGACUAUCAUUUAAAUCGGUGGACUUUGAGUAAAGCAGAUUGCUCUCCAUAAUGUGGAUGGGUCUUAUCCAAUCAGUCAAAGGCCUGAAUAAAAUGAAAGACUGGUCUACCCCAGUAGGAGAAAAUUCUGCCUGCGGACAGUCUUUGGACCUGAACUGCAACAUUGUUUUUUCUCUUGAGUCCUCAACUUGAUGGUCCUGGAACUUGAACUGCAACAGCAGCUCCUCCCUGGGUCUCCAGUCUGCCAGCCCACCCUGUAGGUUUUGGACUUGCCAGCCCCCAUAAUCAUGUUUUAAGGGACAAGGAACCAAGGACAGAGAGAUGCUACCAAGUGGGAUGAGAAUUAACACACCUGUGUGUCCCUGGGGCUCUAGAAGAUGUCACGGACAGGAGAGAGCCAGAGGAGACUGGCACUUAGCAACAUUAAUUUUAUCAAGACCAGGAAGAAGGCAGAAGAAUAAGAAAAUACUUUCCUUUUUCCCCUCUUCACUGCACUAAGGAGGAUCCCACGGUAGCUCAAAGCUGCACAUUGCACUUUCUGUCCUUG